CACGUAGGGGCCAAGCGUUGGUCCGGAUUUAUUGGGCGUAAAGAGCUCGUAGGCGGUUCGACAAGUCGGGUGUGAAAACUCCGGCUCAACCCGGAGACGCCACCCGAUACUGGUCGUGACUGGAGUCCGGUAGGGGAGUGGGGAAUUCCUGGUGUAGCGGUGAAAUGCGCAGAUAUCAGGAGGAACACCGGUGGCGAAGGCGGCUCUCUGGUACGUGACUGACGCUGAGACGCGAAAGCGUGGGGAGCAAACAGG
rnacentral:rRNA from 1 species